AUGAAAGGCAAAACAAAGCGGGUUUCUAAAAUAAUUCAGUUAACAGAAUCGCUAGACUCAUCUACUAAUUCAUGUGUGACUGACUUGCUAGUACUAUACUACACGAUGGGAAAGAGGUCCCAAAUUCAGUGUGAGAUGAGCUUACGAAUUCAGUUAACAAUGAACCUGAAUCUAUGCCUAUGUCUGAAGGGAAAGAAGAAGGUUGGGGCUUUGAGGAUGGAGGGAGGGAGGGACUGUCAGGGCGAUCCAGAAGGCGCCGACGAGGGGGACGGCGCCCCAGAGCAGGCCGCAGGCGAGCCCCACCGCCUGCCGGAUCCAAUGCACUGCGUCCAGCAGCUGUACCUUGUCCAAGUACGCGUCGGGGUCGAGGUACCGGAUGGGGUUCGCCUUGGCCUCGAUGCGGUCGCCGAGGCGGGCGGGCUUGAGGUGGUUGAUGUAGAGCUGCACGCCAGCCACCCUCCGGUACCCCGACGCCAUGUACCCGCCGAUGCUCGCCGUCGACUCCGCCAUCAGCGCCGGGACGCAGCCAUUGAGAAUCUUGAAGGGCUGCGACCAUCCUGA
rnacentral:rRNA from 1 species